rnacentral:rRNA from 1 species
UGAUCCGGAGCGAAUCCCAAAAAUAAACGUCCCAGUUCGGAUUGCAGUCCGCAACUCGAGUGCAUGAAGCUGGAAUCGCUAGUAAUCGCGGAUCAGAAUGCCGCGGUGAAUACGUUCCCGGGUCUUGUACACACCGCCCGUCACACCAUGGGAGCCGGUAACGCCCGAAGUCAGUGGCCCAACCGAGAGGGGGGAGCUGCCGAAGGCGGGACUGGUAACUGGGGUGAAGUCGUAACAAGGUAGC